rnacentral:lncRNA from 1 species
CCUACUCAUUCAUUUAUUUAACAAUUAAAAUAACACUGGAUGAAGUUGUUUCAAUUCCAGUUAAUCGAGAAAAUAAGGAACAGGUUGAAGCUCACAGAAAUCCUGCUGUAUUCAUAAGAGAUUUGCCCAUUACCUAAAAGCUUCUGGCCUCAACUCAAGUUUAGAGGAAUAACACAGCACAAACUUCUUGUUUCAGGUGUGUCCAAAUAAAAAGUUUAACACUGUCUCUCAGGAGGAGUUUUAGCCAAGCAUCCCUUAAGAAGUUACUCUCCAGAGAGGAACAGUAAGCGGCCAAUCAAAACACCAUAUCUCAUUAGCAAAUGGGAUACUAAAACAUGCCUCAUAUGCAACUCCUCCUUCCUGAAAGGAAAGUGUGUGUCAGGCACUGGAACAGACAAUCACAAAGACAAUUCAUGAUGAAACCCACAGUUGUUGUGAAAGGAGAGUUUAUGCACAGCAGCUCAGAAGGUCAGAGAUAACAGAAUAAGGUCUCCAAGAUGGAAAAGGUAUUCAACAGGAAGAGUGGACAAUCUGAAUUAAAUGGGCUAAAGCAUAUUAGAGGGGAAAUCCGUGAAACAUUCUUUUUUAUCUGUGGAAUGCUGUCUGUUGUUCCACCUGCUAAGCUCAACAUUAACUGCAAGAACACAAACAAAAGGAAGAAACAAAUGUCUGCCCUAGUCAUAAACAGCUUUGAAGAUGAGGAAAGACCCUCAAGCAUUCUUCUUUACUUUGUCAUCCUUCUCUGAGCCCAUUCCACCAAGUCUUAGAAGUUAAAAUUGCAGACAAGAGGAAGGCCUUGGAUUCCAGGGAAUUUUUCCCACCUGCAUGUUUUCUACCAGCCCACUUGAUCUAAACAAGGUUCUAACACCGCAAACAAUAAGACAUGUUGUAUGUUUUGGAUCUUCCAUAUCCCCCUGAAGAUCGUUUAUUGAAGCUGGUAGCACUGCUGGAAGAUGGACUUUUAGAAGUGUAAAGAGGCUACGCUUGCACAAAAGCGGAGGAUGGGAAGGAAUGCUGCAAAAUUCUCCCUUCUAGCCAUGCUAUGCCUGUCACACCCAUGAACACUAGACGCUGGGCAGGUCAGCAAGACCGGCGCAUAAUCAAGCAAGCCAACCUCAGUGCUUAGCUGUCAAUCUCUGUUCUGCUUCCAUCAUCUACUGGAUGAAGGCUCUAGGAUGACAUAUAAG